rnacentral:rRNA from 1 species
UCCCCUACGGGGCGCAGCAGUGAGGAAUAUUGGUCAAUGGGCGAGAGCCUGAACCAGCCAAGCCGCGUGAAGGAUGACGGCCCUACGGGUUGUAAACUUCUUUUGUCAGGGAGCAAUUGGGUCCACGUGUGGGCUUAGCGAGAGUACCUGAAGAAAAAGCAUCGGCUAACUCCGUGCCAGCAGCCGCGGUAAUACGGAGGAUGCGAGCGUUAUCCGGAUUUAUUGGGUGUAAAGGGAGCGCAGGCGGCCUGCUAAGUCUGGUGUGAAAACCCGGGGCCCAACCCCGGGCCUGCAUUGGAAACUGG